rnacentral:rRNA from 1 species
CCUGAAAGGGCAGGGUGCCCGCAAGGGAGCGUGGAGACAGGUGGUGCAUGGCUGUCGUCAGCUCGUGUCGUGAGAUGUUGGGUUAAGUCCCGCAACGAGCGCAACCCUCACCCCUAGUUGCCACCGGGUAAAGCCGAGCACUCGAGGGGAACUGCCAGCGUCAAGCUGGAGGAAGGCGGGGAUGACGUCAAGUCAUCAUGCCCCUUACGCCCUGGGCUACACACGUGCUACAAUGGCCAGUACAAAGGGAUGCGAGACCGCAAGGUGGAGCUAAUCCCAGAAAGCUGGUCUAAGUUCGGAUUGCAGUCUGCAACUCGACUGCAUGAAGUAGGAAUCGCUAGUAAUCGCGCAUCAGCACGGCGCGGUGAAUACGUUCCCGGGCCUUGUACACACCGCCCGUCACACCACGAAAGCUGU